rnacentral:rRNA from 1 species
AGUGACGCGGCGGCAGCUUACACAUGCAAGUCAAGCGGGGGAAGGUAGCUUGCUACUGGACCUAGCGGCGGACGGGUGAGUAUGCUUAGGAAUCUGCCUAUUAGUGGGGGACAACAUCUCGAAAGGGAUGCUAAUACCGCAUACGUCCUACGGGAGAAAGCAGGGGAUCUUCGGACCUUGCGCUAAUAGAUGAGCCUAAGUCGGAUUAGCUAGUUGGUGGGGUAAAGGCCUACCAAGGCGACGAUCUGUAGCGGGUCUGAGAGGAUGAUCCGCCACACUGGGACUGAGACACGGGCCAGACUCCUACGGGAGGCAGCAGUGGGGAAUAUUGGACAAUGGGCGCAAGCCUGAUCCAGCCAUGCCGCGUGUGUGAAGAAGGCCUUAUGGUUGUAAAGCACUUUAAGCGAGGAGGAGGCUACUUUAGAUAAUACCUAGAGAUAGUGGACGUUACUCGCAGAAUAAGCACCGGCUAACUCUGUGCCAGCAGACGCGGUAAUACAGAGGGUGCAAGCGUUAAUCGGAUUUACUGGCU